rnacentral:tRNA from 1 species
GUUCCCAUAGUAAAGUGGAUAUUACGGUCCCCUCCUAAGGGAUUGUCGGCUGUUCGAGUCAGCCUGGGAACACCA